CAGGCUCAGAGUGUAGAUGCCUCGUCCCUCCCCUCCCACAAUGCACCAGCUGGGGGAGAACUCAGAACAGGGCCUCAAGCGGGGCACUGAGUCCUCUCUUUGGUUUUGCCCCACCCCCUGCCAGGACCCCAGCUGUGACAAGGGUCAGCACGCUGGCUCAGUGUGUGUAUUCUCGGGGUACUGUGCAACCCUGGCCCCUACAGUUUCUCAAUACGUGUUACUGCUUAGCCACUUCCCCCUCCGGACUCCUGCUUGCAGUUACCAGACUCCUGCUGUUGUCCUUUGCUUCCCGGGUGAGGGUGACCGGAGUCCUCCUGGAGAAUGUGGGUUCCCUGUGGAGGCCAGAGCUGUGUACUGUGAACCCCGAGUCAGCCUCUUCUGGACCCACCUCUCACCAAAGCUACUCAUGCCAAGACUGGAACCUGCCACGUUCCCUGCACACCCAUCGCUGUGGACAAAGGCAUGACCAGGUCAAGAGGCCAGAACAGAAGAGCAGUUUCCAGAGUUGGCGCUUUGUGCAAGGCAGGAUGACCAGGGAGGAACACUCCCAGAAGUUUUUCCGUAGGAAAGGCGAAACCCCUCAGCAGUCUAUUAAUAGAUCCAGUGGACAGCCAGUAGCCAAGGUGAAUAUUGGUGUUAACAGGAAGUGCUGGGGACAGGCUCUGAUGGGCUCAGACACUGGGUCCAGACAGAGACAGGCUGCUUCUGUUGUCUCGGGGCACAUUCUCAGCCUGGAUCCUGAGCCCCAGACACUGCUGCUGCCUGAGGGGCUACCCGGUCCAGCUCCUGGGUUCUUCGUGUCCCUUAAACCUAUCAAGCCUGUUGGCAUCUCGGGCUCACCCCGACUGUGGCUGUCCUUCCUUCCCUCUCUUCCUUCUGGUCUCUGGACAAAUGCCACUCCUCAGAGAACUUUUCUGAUCUGACCUAAAAUAUCCCUACCACAACUUUAAAAAAAAUCCCCUCCCACGUGCCCUCGAACUCUUGACCCUCUUGCCUUAGCCCAGAGAGGUGGAUUACAGAGGACCUCCACAUCCAGCCAAAAUACUGUGAACUGCUUGCCUAGUUUUUUCAUUAUACACACAGAUUUAUUUUCAUUUCA